rnacentral:rRNA from 1 species
UACGUAGGGAGCGAGCGUUGUCCGGAAUUACUGGGUGUAAAGGGAGCGUAGGCGGGACUGCAAGUCUGGAGUGAAAGCCCGAGGCCCAACCACGGGACUGCUCUGGAAACUGCGGGGCUGGAGUGCAGGAGGGGUAAGCGGAAUUCCUAGUGUAGCGGUGAAAUGCGUAGAUAUUAGGAAGAACACCAGUGGCGAAGGCGGAUUACUGGACGACAACUGACGGUGAGGCGCGAAAGCGUGGGGAGCAAACAGG